rnacentral:rRNA from 1 species
AUUGAACGCUGGCGGCAUGCCUUACACAUGCAAGUCGAACGGUAACAGGUCUUCGGAUGCUGACGAGUGGCGAACGGGUGAGUAAUACAUCGGAACGUGCCCGAUCGUGGGGGCUAACGAAGCGAAAGCUUUGCUAAUACCGCAUACGAUCUACGGAUGAAAGCAGGGGACCGCAAGGCCUUGCGCGAACGGAGCGGCCGAUGGCAGAUUAGGUAGUUGGUGGGAUAAAAGCUUACCAAGCCGACGAUCUGUAGCUGGUCUGAGAGGACGACCAGCCACACUGGGACUGAGACACGGCCCAGACUCCUACGGGAGGCAGCAGUGGGGAAUUUUGGACAAUGGGCGAAAGCCUGAUCCAGCCAUGCCGCGUGCAGGAUGAAGGCCUUCGGGUUGUAAACUGCUUUUGUACGGAACGAAAAGACUCUGGUUAAUACCUGGGGUCCAUGACGGUACCGUAAGAAUAAGCACCGGCUAACUACGUG